ensembl:lncRNA novel transcript
GUAGACUGCGGCCGAGACGGGGAGGGGGAAGCCUCGCCUGGGGGGCGGCAGUGGCCUGGGCGGCUCUCCGGCUGCUGUUGUAUGGCUGCACGUUGGCGCUACCGGACGGGAUGCUGUAUCCCCGAGAGAGCCCGUCGUGGCAGCGCAAGCAGCUGGACGGCCUCUGAAGCUUCCGCGCCGACUUCUCCGACAACCGACGCCGGGGCUUCGAGGAGCAGAGGUACCGGCGACCGCUGUCGGAGGCGCGGACUCGGGGCAGGGCCAGGAGUCGCCCGGAAGCCCGGCGGUGGGAAUGGGUCAGGCCCCACCGUGGACAUGCCGGUUCCCUCCAGCUUCAACGACAUCGGCCAGGGCUGGCGGCUGCGGCAUUUUGUCAGCUGGUUGUGGUAUGAACGGGAGGUGACCCUGCUGGAGCGAUGGAUCCAGGACCUGUGCACAAGAGUGGUGCUGAGGAUUGGCAGUGCCCACUUCUAUGCCAUCGUGCUACGCAGGACUGCUGUGGUCUCUGCUUCUAUACACGACACCCCCCACCUACAUCGAUGACGUCACCGUCACCACCGGCGUGAAGCGAGACAGUGGUGAGGGCUUCUGGACUGGAUGGAGGACCUGAAGACGUGA